UGGGAUAGCUCAGUUGGUAGAGCAGAGGACUGAAAAUCCUCGUGUC
rnacentral:tRNA from 1 species